rnacentral:tRNA from 1 species
GCCCUCGGUGGCUCAGAUGGAUAGAGCGUCUGCCAUGUAAGCGGGAGAUCCCGGGUUCGAGUCCCGGUCGGGGCA